rnacentral:rRNA from 1 species
AUUGAACGCUGGCGGCAGGCUUAACACAUGCAAGUCGAACGAGUGGCGGACGGGUGAAUAAUGCUUGGGAAUCUCGCUUAUGGAGGGGUAACACUAUGAGAAACUGUAGCUAAUACCGCGAAACAUAGGAUGAGCCCAAGUGGGAUUAGGGAGUUGGUGAGGUAAAGGCAAACCAAGGCGACGAUCUCUAGCUGGUCUGAGAGGAUGACCAGCCACACUGGGACUGAGACACGGCCCAGACUCCUACGGGAGGCAGCAGUGGGGAAUAUUGCGCAAUGGGGGCAACCUGACGCAGCCAGGCCGCGUGAAUGAAGAAGGUCUUCGGAUUGUAAAGCACUUUAAGUAGGGAGGCGUUACCAACAGAAUAAGCACCGGCUAACUUCGUGCCAGCAGCCGCGGUAAUAC